ACAUUUGGAUUUGAACAGCAAUGAUCAAGGAGAGAAACUGACUAGUGGACUCAUAUACUAGACAAUGUAGCACUAGCAACAGCCCCCAAAGGACAUGGGUCCUGACUAGGAAGAUAUUGAAAGACCACUGUUCCCUGUGAUGAACCACCAGCCUGUAACAUCUGCCGUUGGCCAUAGGGUUUGGUAGGGGAAAUGGCUUCCCCAUGGUACCCAGCAGCAUGUGAGGCAGGAGCCUGCUGACACCGACAACUGGAACUGACAGGACAGGAGGCAGAAGCAAGGAGAGUCCUAUUUGUCUUUGGCGAAAUGGGCCUGAAUUCUUCUCUUCCCAAAAAGAUGCCCAGGAGACAACAGACAAGCUAAUGAACUGGAAGGCAGCCAAAAGGAAAAGUAAAAAUCUCACUUGCCUUCUCUCUAGUGCUACCCUUUGGACCUGCCAGUCUUCUCUGAGGGCGUACUUACUUUCCUCUCUCCCUUUGCUCCUCUCAGAGGUGCCUCCCUUCCUUGAAACUUCUUCACCUUUGCUUCAAGAGCACCACAGAGCAGAUUCUUCAAGGCAGAGAUAUACAAGAAUCCCUGUGGAAAACCUCAUGAACUCAAGGUCAUGCAGAGACUUAGGGAAGAACUGGGACUGGCUUAUCAAGACUCUACACUACUGACCCAGGGCUUGGCAGUUUCUGUCCUAGAAAUCAGAACACGCAGCUCAUGCAUCACCGAGAAGGUGGUCAGCCUAAGAAGUGGUUCCCCACUCUUUGUUCUAAGAUAUUCCUCUCUCAGA
rnacentral:lncRNA from 1 species